UCCGGGUGCAUUUGGAGCGGGUUCUGGUGAGGGACUGGAAGAUGCUCGGCCUGUGCUGUGUACAAAAGGGCUUGCAGGAGUCUGUUUGUCCCAUCUAAUGGGGCAAGAGGAGGGAGAAGGAACCCUUUCUUCGGAACUGUAGUGAUGCAAGACCUAAUGGGCGGAGGAGGCGAGACCGAAGCAGGAAGACACCUAACAGAAAGUUUCAGAGGUCCCCGAGGAAUUCUGCGAGUGAGCCUUUGUCUCUCUGCCAGCAAUCCUACAGUCCAGUUUGAGCUGAGCCAAGACUUUUGGACCAUGUCAGUCCCUGCAGAAGUCAGAAAUGGUCGUGGGAUCCCUGGAGCUGGAGUUACAAACACUUGUGAGCUGCUCUGCCUGGAUGCUGAGAUACAAACUCUGGUCUUUUUAAGAGCAGAAAGCCCCACCCUUAGCUGCCAAGCCAUUCUUCCAGCCCCUAAUGUGUUCUUAAUAGUUUAUCAGAACAUGGUGUCUACACAGCUGCUCCAUCUGGGAUUUCAGCAAACAGUAAAGUGGCCAUUGUUCAGUUGAAUUCUGUAUAGGUUCAAAUUGGAUUUCUAUAUGGCUGUGUUUUACAAACAUGAUCAGAAACUUUCUUCCCAUGUAUUCCUGCCCCUUCACCCUCUCUGAAUUUGAAGUCUACAUAGUCUCCAAACAAUGGAUAAGGAAAGCCCCAGGCUUCCUCCAAUUCUUUUGUAAGGAAAGAUUUCCUGCUAUAUUCAGGCCAAACCGGACUUCUUUUUAUUUCCUGCAGAAGUGAAAGCAGACAGACUAGGCUUCUCAGAAACAGCCUGGAUGUCAAGAAACCAGGUGCUUUCCUUUUGACUGGGUUGGAAUUUGGUUUGUGCAGUUGUUUGUACAUAAGGCUGUUGGAAGUUUUUUCAAGUCCCAAGAUUAUGAAUAUUGGGUUGGAAUGCUUUUAUGCUAGCUGCCAUUUACAAAACAAACUCUAUAGCAAGCUUCACUGCACACAGCAACAGGGAUCACAUAAUUCAAGCAGAACAGAGGCAAGACCUUCAAGUUAGGAAAACAAUUGGCACUGUGAAUGUAGGUGUUUACUGAGCACAAAUACUUUGUAUACAAAACUCUUCAAGAUGUAUAGGAGAGUGUGAAGAUUCAUUUGACCUAGUCACUGCCCUAAGAGGGUUCACUGCAGUGAGUAAAAUGGACUUCUCAGAGAAUGGAAGAAUGGAGGAAAGCAAGAACCCUAGACAUUACAUGACUGAGCACCCCAAGAUUGCCAACAAGAGCAUUAGGAAACUUAACAUUGAGGAAUUUAUUUAAACGGUUUAUACGUGAAAAGGACUCAGAUUAUUAAAGCAUGGGCUUGCAGUUUUCUUACUCAUAAUUGUUUCCUGAUACGUUUUCUAUUAUUUUAAUGAACUCUGGUAUCAGUUACAUACAUUUUUAAAAAGAUAGAGAGUAUCACGAUGAUUAGCCUCAAACUGAUGAGACCUGGGUCACAGCACCUCAAGUAUGUGUGCCACCACACAAGCUCCUACACAAGUCUUAGAAAUCUCAGGGUGUCUUUUCAGAGCUCUGCUUUGACCCCUGUGACUAAGAAUUCUCUGAGUCAUGAUCAGGAUCAUUUUGUGAAGUUUCAGAAGAACUGUACUUGUCUUUAACAGAGUGGGCAAUUAUACAUUGAUUUAUAAAUAUUAUUUUUACCUAAUUCCUCUCAUUUGUUGUUCCACUCAUUUUUAACUCAUUUAAAAUCUCACAUUAUUAUUUGGUACAUUUCUUCAUUUCAAUUCUAAAAGGUUUCUAAAAAGUUGCCUUUGCUGGGUAUUUUUUUUUUUUCAGCAGCAAUUAGGGAAGUAACAAAUAUGGUGAGUUUCAGCGUUGUGUGCUUUCUCUGAAAAGUUAGUUGAUUUAUCUGAAUUGCCAAUGUUAUUCAAAUUGGGUUGUCAGAAUUCUUAUUUUAAAAUGUUCUUUGCUGAUCACAAAUUGUUUUUAUAAUUUUCAUUACAUAUAUUUAUUAUACAAAUUGUGUCAUGAUAGGAUAUGUUCAUAUAAGCAUAUCUUGCAUGUUUAGCAUACUCCCAUGCUCCUAUCAUUCUCAGCAUGCCCACCCCCUUCCAUUAGUCCUCUUUGUUUCCCUAAACAGUUACAUUUUGGCUUUUAUGUCAUAUAUACAAAUGUAAUUUUAUAUAUCUGUAUGCAGUCUAGGAGUUCAAUAUUAAAGAAAGCAUACAUUUGUUUUUCUGACACUGAUUUAACUUGCUUAAUGUGAUUAUCUCUGGUUGCAUCCACUUCCAGAAAACAGCAUAAAUCUGUUGUCAAUUCCUCCCCACCUUAUUUUUGAGACAGGGUCUCUCAGAAAACCCAGAGCCCAUUUGUUGGCUGGACUGGCUGGCUACCAACCUUGGUGCCAGGCUUACAGGUGUGCCCACCAUGUCUGGUUUGCUGUGUGGGUGCUGGGAUCUGAACUUAGAUCUUCAUGCCUGCACAGGAAGUACUUUACCCUCCCUGCAAAAAUGUUCUCAAUCCCUUUAAAAGAUGUAAACCGCUUACCCUGCAUUUUUUUGGCAGUUGGGAUAUAGUUUAUACAUAUUUUGUAGUACUAGAAGCUGGUCAAUAUGUGGAAUAUCUUUAUUAUGCUUGGGAAAAAUCAACAGGAUUUCAAGUACAGCUGCUAAUAACAGGAAAGAUUAGUGUAAGUUUAUGGUUACAGAUAAAUCAUUAAAUUACCUUUGAUAUCUACAGGUUACCCAUCAUAAUUUAAUGGCCAUCUUUAAAGUUAAUGUUCCACAUUAUGUUUAAGUAUCAUGUUACUAUGUAAUCUAGAGUCAACUCUUCAUGUUUGGAAAUGUCCUGUUAUAGUUUCAAUCUAAAUGAACUGAAACAUUUCAUUCUUCACCCAUGGAUUUGUAGAUUCAUCUCCUUGAUUCAUCAUGCCAAUGACUUCUUCCAUCUUCAAGGGGAUAAUAUUUACAUAUAUAUAAAUAUAUAUAUAUGUGUGUGUGUGUGUGUGUGUGUGUGUGUGUGUGUGUGUGUGUGUGUGUGUGUGUAUGAAUUCUAGAUCUCCAAGCAGGUGUCUUCAUUCAUAAUAAAGUGUGUUGAUAGGAUUACCUACCACCAAUGUCCACAAAUCAUGCCAUUGCUCAAAGUUUGAGCAGUUUUAAUAUAAUGUAGAACUUUAUGUUGUCUCCAGCAAGGAGUGAGGAUGGCUGUCCCUGUCCUUUAGACCAUCACACUCCUUGACAGCUUGGUUCCUAAUUAUGUGCCACCAUUUAAGAAUGUGUUCAGUGUCUACUUGUCUCCUGGAGAUCAUCUGGAAAAAGGACUUUCUUCUAGCAGUGCUGUAGAUACCUCUCCUGUGGUAGAGAUGUCAAUGACAUCCUUGGUGCACAAUCUUAUAGGAAGAUAAACAUGAUUCAAACGAUCACACUGAAGUGUAUUUUUUUUGUUUGUUUUCUGAUGCAGGACCCAAUUAUUAUCAACUGGAGCUACUCUUGUUCCCAAUUCUGUAGCCCAUUCAUCUGUUUUGAGUGGCAGGACAGCAGUAUUCUUUAAGCCUUUAGCUUAUGACACAUAUGCGUGAGGCUUCCCUUUCAUAGAGAAUCUUUAUCUCAUCUGGAAGUAUUUCACGCUCCUGCUGGAAUCUCUCAUUUAGUUGUAGUAUCCAUAGUAAAUUAUUUUUUAUUAUUUAAUUCCUUAAAUUCUUCUCCACCCUAAAUUUUUAUUACACUUCUUUAACUUGUUUUUAGUCAUUAGUAAAUUUUAAUAUUCAAAUUUUUCCCUUUUGGAUUCUUCAUAUCUACCUCCCCCAAGUUACACUUUUCUUUGGGCAGCUGUGGUCACUUCUCCUGGGGGGUUCCUUUGGCUAAAAACGAGUUCCAUUGAUAAAUCUAAGUUAUCAGUAUAGGUUUUUUUCUCAUUGAUUACCUGUGACCCCCAUAGGUAAUCUUAAUCAUGUGUUUGACUUUAAAUUUUAGCAUUAUAGACCUUAAUACAUCCACCUACUCAUAUCUUAUAUAACUAGGCACCACAGGAAUGAAUCCUGAAAAUCUGACUAAGGCUCUGAAUCUUAGACUAAGACAUUUAGUCUAGGGGAUGGAGGAUGGCUCAUCCAGUAACAUGUCUGCCGCACAAGCAUAGGACCUGAGCUGGACUCCUGGGCACCCAAGUAAAAGUUAGACACAGCACUGCCUUGUAAUACCAGGCUGGGGAGGCAGAUAUAGAUAGAUCCUUGAAACUCAUUCCCUAGUAGGUGACCCUCAUCAUUGAGUUCAAGGUUCAGUGAAAUACCCUGUCUCAAAAAAUAUAGUGGAGAGUAAUGGAGGAAGAUUGGAAGUAGAUCUCUGGCCUUCACGUCUAUGAGCACACAUGAAGAAACACUAACAUACGCAUGCAUGUUUACACACACCAAAAAAAGAGCGAGGAGAGUGAGGACAAAAGUGAAUGAGAGAGACAGACAGAGACAGAGAGUCAGACAGAAGAAGAAAUUUAGUAUGAGCUUUCACAACUUGGCAGCAGGGUGCCAGAUGAUGAUUAUGAAAAUCAGAGUCCCAGACUGAAGAUAAUGAAUUUCUUCAUCUAACUCCCUACUGAACUUGGGAGCAGAGUCUAGGAAAGAGGAGGGACAGACAGACUGUCACAUAGAUAAACUCUUUUAGAUAUAAACUCAUUCCGGGUAAGAUGGAAAAAAACUUAAUCUGUUGUAUAUAUCUUAUAAAUAGUGUUUAUUUAUUUUGAGACAGGGGCUAUCACCCUGGUUGGUUUUUAAUUCCCUACAUAAGUGAGGAUGAUUUUGACCUUUUGAUCUUCCUGUCUUCACUUUGCAAACUUAAUCUUAUAUGAACCUGGAUUUUCUUUAUUUCCAUUUUCCAGAGGGAAAUAGUUCAUGGUUCAUAGAGUCUUAAGAAAGAAAUAAAGAUAAAACAUAAAGAGCAUAGCUAUCAUAAUUAAACAGAUAUUACUAAAGGACUUAGCAUGACACCAUUACACAUUGAAAA